GUGGGGAAUCUUCCGCAAUGGACGAAAGUCUGACGGAGCAACGCCGCGUGAGUGAUGAAGGUCUUCGGAUUGUAAAGCUCUGUUAAUCGGGACGAAAGAGCCUAGUGUGAAUAAUGCUAGGAAGUGACGGUACCGGAAUAGAAAGCCACGGCUAACUACGUGCCAGCAGCCGCGGUAAUACGUAGGUGGCAAGCGUUGUCCGGAAUUAUUGGGCGUAAAGCGCGCGCAGGCGGAUCUGCCAGUCUGUCUUAAAAGUUCGGGGCUUAACCCCGUGAUGGGAAGGAAACUACAGAUCUAGAGUAUCGGAGAGGAAAGUGGAAUUCCUAGUGUAGCGGUGAAAUGCGUAGAUAUUAGGAAGAACACCAGUGGCGAAGGCGACUUUCUGGACGAAAACUGACGCUGAGGCGCGAAAGCCAGGGGAGCGAACGGGAUUAGAUACCCUAGUAGUCC
rnacentral:rRNA from 1 species